GGCAUAAAUCAAGUCCGCGGGGCAUGGAGGCUGCUGUCGCUGCAGCAGCUCAGCUUGCCCGGGGCGGGAACUCCCCCUUUCUCCUUUCGCCUCCCCAGCACCCACACCCUGUCUCCCCCUGAAUUCUUCCCUGGAUAAUAGCACCCUAACGACAACAGUCAUAAUAAUAGGGUUAGAACGACAGGGGAGGAAAACCCAACAGCCUAAAUAUCUCUGAAAACUGCAUCGCAAAAUGGAAGAAAGAGGGGGUCCCACUACUGUUUCAAAAGAGAGCCAUGGAAGCCAAAUGCUGAGGAUGGUGGCAUCAUAGGGUGAAUGGAGCUGGGUUCUUGAAACACUGCUUGGAGGAAAGACAGCAAAAAUGCCUUAUGAAUCCAACUGGACUGUUAUGAUGCUCACCCUUGGAGACCAGCAACAAUGUAUGCAGAAACCCAGGCCAUGUGGAAAGGCCCCACGUACGUGUACAACUGAGGUCCCAGCUGACAGCUGGCAUUGACAUAAUGUUCACUCUGGGGGAAGCCAGCUGCCACACCGUAAGGACACUCGGGCAGUCCUAUGAAGAGGCCCGUGUGGUGAGAAAAUGAGGCCUCCAGCCUACAGCCAUAGAUGGGGUCUUGCUAUGUUGCCCAGGUUGGAGUACAGUGGUUACUCACAGAUGCCAGAAGAAGACUGUUGCUAUUGUUUUUCUCCAUGCUCGAGGAUUUUUGUCCUUUGCAAAAUAAUCUCAGAAUGUAUUGUAGAAGCUACUGAUGCCCCAGUCUACGUCCGACAGCCAAAUGUCUGGAUUCACUGCAGCUGCGCGACACACCCCUGUCUUUCUACCUCAACUAUCCACGCCUCUCUGCUUGCUUCUCUGCCUGAGGGCUUUCUUGGCAGUAGAGGAGUUUACUCUGCCUGUAUGCAAGGCAGCCUAGAAGUGUAAUGGGUUUAAUUUCCCAGCAGCAAUUUUCAACCAAUGAGAAACUGGAACUGGUGCAUAAACAGCCCAGAUUCCCUAUCACGCUUUGGGCCACACUCUCAGAAAGCUUGAGAUUGCAGUAACCUGCUCCCUUGUGCACACACCUUUCAUUGGCUGUCUUCCCUUUUCUACUUCACUCCUCACUCCCUUGUUGCACUUCCUGGAAUCACCUGUCAAACUACCUGGGGCAUGGUGACAUGCAUCUGUAGUCCCAGCUACACAGGAGGUUGAGGUGAGAAGAUCACUUGAACCCAGGAGUUCUAGUCCAGCCUGGGCAACAUAGCAAGACUCCUGUCUCUUAAAAAAUAAAAUAAAA